rnacentral:rRNA from 1 species
AGUGAACGCUGGCGGUAGGCCUAACACAUGCAAGUCGAACGGCGGCACAGUAAGAGCUUGCUCUUACGGGUGGCGAGUGGCGGACGGGUGAGGAAUACAUCGGAAUCUACUUUUUCGUGGGGGAUAACGUAGGGAAACUUACGCUAAUACCGCAUACGACCUACGGGUGAAAGCAUGGGAUCUUCGGACCUUGCGCGAUUGAAUGAGCCGAUGUCGGAUUAGCUAGUUGGCGGGGUAAAGGCCCACCAAGGCGACGAUCCGUAGCUGGUCUGAGAGGAUGAUCAGCCACACUGGAACUGGGACACGGUCCAGACUCCUACGGAAGGCAGCAGUGGGGAAUAUUGGACAAUGGGCGCAAGCCUGAUCCAGCCAUACCGCGUGGGUGAAGAAGGCCUUCGGGUUGUAAAGCCCUUUUGUUGGGAAAGAAAAGCAGCAGGUUAAUACCCCGCUGUUCUGACGGUACCCAAAGAAUAAGCACCGGCUAACUUCGUG